AAAUUGAAGCUCCCUCGCGCUGCCACGUCGGAUCCGCACCGUUUCACUAAAGUGUGAUUCGGUUAUUACGGGCUACGCAUUUGGGCUUCAUGCUAUGUUUGUACGCGGCCCGACUACCCCAAUCUCCUGGUGGAACCCUAAUCAUCCUCUACGCUCGCCUUGGUGAUCUCCGCUCUCCUUCGAUCGGCGCAGCUGCGAUCUAUCUCCUGUAACAGUUCUUCGAUAAUCAAUGGACUUAAAUCAUCUUUAAUCACCACUGCGAAGCUCCCUCCUGCGCCGCUCAUCUGCUAUAUAAAGAUCUCACCGUCAACUAUCAUACAAGCGACUGUGUACAGAGGGUUUAAUGUAUUCCAUAAGCGAUUUUGAUGUGGCUCAGAGCAAUCUAAAGUCUCUCCUCUAUCAAUUUGACUGAAUCGUGUCUCCACCGUCAAAGUGCGUCUCAUCAGAUUCUGGGAGGCUCUCCCUCUCUCUUUGUUUUUUUUAGGAUGGUUAAGAUAGACAGAUGGUUUUUUUGAACUGUCAACUCUAUGUCUUUUCCUUCCUUGGUUUGUAAUAUGCUGAUGAGAACUCCUCCUUCUAUCAUAGGCUUACUAAAAUCUUGGGUUUGAUCUAUCACGAGUCUUUCUUUCCUGGAUUGGCUUGGCUGGAUUGGUCUAUUCUAAUCUAUCUUCCUUGCCUUCCUGUCUUGCCUAGCUAUGCCUUCUUUCCUUGAUUUCAGCCAGGAUCUGCUUUUAGCCUGAUUGGUAGGUUGGGUGGUGUUGGUUGCCUCACGAUAACCAAGUGGGGUUUGUUGAUAGGUUUGUUAUGCCUGAAGAGUUUAUUAUAUCUCUACCAGAUAAAAAGAUGUGGAGAGAUGGCACGAAAGAUAUGUUUCUUCAAAGACCAAAUAUCAAAGGUUGGAGUUUCUCCUAAAGAGUUUAUAGACAAAUAUGUUUAUAUGUGCUUGGAUGAUGUUGAGGUCAAGCUUGGAGAGCUAGAAGCUGAACUUUCUGUAAUCAAGGUCAUAGUCAAAACGUUGCAGUGGCUAUCAACAGUAGCAUCCUUAGUGUCUUACAUAUGGCAACUCUUCCAAAGGUCUAUUGUUAUUGUCUCAAACAUCGUUAUAUAUAUGAAAGAUUCUGUAACUAAGGCUUUUAUGAAAGCUAUACUGGAGAGCUUUACAAGAGUACUUCAAGGUUUAGCUUUUAACAUUGUUGCUUAAAAUAAUUAAUACCAUCUUUGUAGACAAAACUAUGAGAUGCAGUGAAUAACUUCUUAUAGGUUUUACGUUUUACUUCUAUGUUUGCGCUUUUUCUUCUUCUCAUAAUUAUAUCUCCUGUAAAUUUGGGUCAGAUAAAAAUCAAUGUAAAUCUAGAAAUAUGUAUUUA